rnacentral:lncRNA from 1 species
CCCGACUAGCUGGUAUUACAAGCACUGGACAUCAUGCCCGGCUAAUUUUUGUAUUUUUAGUAGAGACGGGGUUUCAGCAUGUUGGCCAGGCUGGUCUUCAACUCCUUACCUCAGGUGAUCCACCCGCCUCGGCCUCCCAAAAUGCUGGGAUUACAGGUGUGAGGCACCACUCUCUGCCAGGUGGUUUCAAUGUUGAGUCACAUCUGGUCAAGUACAGGAGAGCCUUCUUUAUGCUCCUUCUUUCUCCCUUAUUGGCUGGUUCCAUAUAGAGAAUCCGCUGGAAGGAUACAAGCACCUGAGUGAUGGCAUCCCACUUGGACUUCGAUGAAAUGAGAAGUGUGGGAGCCAUAGGUUCUUGGCCCUCUAAAGGUUUGGU